rnacentral:rRNA from 1 species
GCGAAUGCUCUUCGGAGUGGAAGCGGCGAAAGGGGCAGUAAUGCAUGGGUACCUACCGAGCGGUUGGGCAUAGCUCGUUGAAGAACGAGAUAAUUCCCAGCGAUGUCGCAAGACCAAAGCUCCGGCGCCUCUUGAGGGGCCCAUGUGGUAUUAGCUAGUUGGUGAGGUAACGGCUCACCAAGGCAGAGAUACCUAGCGGGUGUGAGAGCACGACCCGCGCCACUGGCACUGAGACACUGGCCAGACACCUACGGGUGGCUGCAGUCGAGAAUCUUCGGCAAUGGGCGCAAGCCUGACCGAGCGACGCCGCGUGAGCGAUGAAGGCCUUCGGGUUGUAAAGCUCUGUCGAGGGAGAGAAAAGCGCAAGUUUGAUCGACCCCUGGAGGAAGCACGGGCUAAGUUCGUGCCAGCAGCCGCGGUAAGACGAACCGUGCGAACGUUAUUCGGAAUCACUGGGCUUAAAGGGCGCGUAGGCGGGCUGUUAAGUCCGGGGUGAAAUCCUCCCGCUCAACGGGAGAACUGCCUCGGAUACUGAUGGUCUCGAGGACGGUAGGGGUAAGCGGAACUGUGAGUGGAGCGGUGAAAUGCGUUGAUAUUCACAGGAAUUCGGUGGCGAAGGCGGUUUACUGGACCGUAUCUGACGCUGAGGCGCGAAAGCUAGGGGAGCGAAGAGGAUUAGAUACCCUCGUAGUCCCUAGCCCUAAAACGAUGGGUACUAGGUAGUCGGCUUGAUAUGAGCUGACUGCCGAAGCCCAAGUGCUA